ensembl:lncRNA
GAGAUUCUUUGGCUUUGGUGAUGAGUGAGAGCUGUCAGAAUCACAGGUGGGAGGAUGGAGAGAGGAAGGUUAUAUAAAAGAGAACUUAGUCACACCAAGACUGAAAACAGGCAGAAUCAUCCAAGAUCCACUUCUUCUAGACCCUUACUUCUUCUUUAUCAGACUGCUGGAAAAAAAAAGGAGGGGAAAGCCAGAGCAGAAAUAAUUGCUGGAGCUUCCAGUGAGCUGAGAGCCUGCAGGCAGAGAUCAACGCUCCUGAUUUCAUCCUCUUCCUUUUAUUUCUAUAACCUUAAACGUUCUGCUAUUAUAAAAGUCAUCAUGUCAGCUUUCUCCCCAGCCUCUCCGGCUGCCCAUUUUCAAAUUGUAUCAAUUGGUAAGGCUUUGGGGCUGUAGGAUUUUCAUCUUGAUUUAUGGUUCCUGUGCUUUUAAAGAUGAAGCAAACUCAACUAGCCCGACUCGGGCAUGGAGCCACGCUGUCCUGGAAACCGGAGGAGAGAGGCAUGGGGGAGCCUGACAGGAAGUGAGGAUUCUGGGACUUCAAAUACACACAUUAGAAAAAACAAGCAACAUCUGCAAACACGUUCAUGAAGGAAGAGCCUUGGCGUCAUUCAUGGGAGCUGAGAUGGUCCUAAAAGAGUGAACAGAACGAAGAGGAGCAGCUAUUACACAUGAUAUUUUCUGUUGAGAGCUUGCCUUGGUCUUCGACUCAUUCUCUUUAAUUAAUCAGGAGAGUAGUAGGAACUGCCAUCGCUCCUGCCUGGUCUAUUCCCUGCCUCCUGGUCCACUCCUGAGAGCCUUGGAGGAUGCAGCGGGCAGCCCAUCACUCAAGCAGAAGCAGCCCGAGUGACUUCACUGCAGAGGGACCUGGAGAUGGGUGGUCGGGGGCCCCAGGGAGGGAAGGUAUCUGCCCUCUUAAUGCAGACGAGGUCUCCAAACCUCUCCCGUGGGACUUGCCCGUGGCUGAGGACAAGGCUCUCUGAACUCUGGAGUUAGUCGGCUUUUUAGUUCGAGGCUUGGCACAAAGAUUUAUGUUCCUGGUGUGACCGUACUCACCAUCCAUCACGAUUAGUUACAAUAAAAUCUCUCUUCGUGUUUUUAAAAGCCCUUCGAGUUACAUUCCAUUAUGCAGUUAACAUAUCGCAGAUGGUCGGGCCAUUGUUCAACCAGGGAACCAUUUUUUGAUCUCUGAAGAGGAGGGCAGGGAACCAGCACUUGACCUCCCCAGAGGCCCUGGAAAUCCUGAGCCCGGAGUAGAGGAGAGAGAACAA